rnacentral:rRNA from 1 species
UACGUAGGUUGCGAGCGUUGUCCGGAUUUAUUGGGCUUAAAGGGUGCGUAGGCGGCUUUGUAAGUCAGUGGUGAAAUACUCCAGCUUAACUGGAGGGGUGCCAUUGAUACUGCGGAGCUUGAGUACAGAUGAGGUAGGCGGAAUUGACGGUGUAGCGGUGAAAUGCAUAGAUAUCGUCAAGAACACCGAUAGCGAAGGCAGCUUACUGGGCUGUAACUGACGCUGAUGCACGAAAGUGUGGGGAUCAAACAGG